AGGAAGUCAAUAUGUCAAGGAUAACAAAAAGGAAACAAGAUCAAAUGCAGUAAGGACAAUGCUAAAUGAAAGGAUGCCAAGACCAUCAGAAAGGAGACAAGAUUAAGUGCAGUUGUUAUAUGAAGAUAGUCCUUACUUUAAGGAUUGAUUUUGAAUCUGGAGAUUCUAAAGAUUGAUCGAUCAAGUGAAGCCACUAUUUACUUCCCUUGAUUAUGAAUACGAAAAUGAAGGAAGUAACUGAAUACAACCCAUCUCUUAAAAUAGGAUUCAGAGGUACCCUUGGGUCAAAACUCUUAGAAUAUUUCGUGCCUCAAUCAAGGGUCAAUCUGCAAUGGCUACUCAAGACUCUCGUAUAAGAAGAUUGGCAGACUCAAAAAUUCAAUUAUGCAACUUACCACUCUUUUCUAUGCCUUUCUAGUUCUUAGCACACAUUGUAUUCCUGAGUUUACUAGCAUCUCAAAAAACAGGAAGUGUUAGGAAACAAAAUAAGAGUUGUAUCAAGUCCCCUGCUAUUGUAACCAACUAUUGAAGAUCUAAGAGAACCCUUGUGAACCAAGGGAAUUGGAUGUAGG
rnacentral:lncRNA from 1 species